AAUGAUUUUUAUUUUUUCCCAUUACAGCUGGUUUAUAGUGUUCUGUCAAUUUUCUACUGUACAGCAAGGUGACCCAGUCACACAUACAUAUAUACAUUCCUUUUCUCACAUUCUCAUGCUCCAUCAUAAGUGACUAGAUGUAGUUCCCAGUGCUAUACACGAGGAGGUCAUGGCUUAUCCAUUCCAAAGGCAAUAGUUUGUAUCAAUUAACCCCAAAUUCCCAGUCCAUCCCACUCCCUCCCCAUCCCCCUUGGCAACCACAAGUCUGUUCUCCAUGCCCAUGAUUUUCUUUUUUGUGGAGUGGUUCAUUUGUGCCACAUAUUAGAUUCCAGAGAUAAGUGAUGUCAUGUGGUAUUUGUUUUUCUCUUUCUGAUUUACUUCACUUAGUAUGAGAGUCUCUUGUUCCAUCUGUGUUGCUGCAAAUGGCAUUAUGUCAUUCUUUUUUAUGGCUGAGUAGUAUUCCAUUGUGUAUAUAUACCACAUCUUCCGAAUCCAGUCCUCUGUCAAUGGACAUUUGGGUUGUUUCCAUGUCUUGGCUGUUGUGAAUAGUGCUGCAAUGAACAUGCGGGUGCAUGUGUCUCUUUUAAGUAGAGUUUUGUCCGGAUAUAUGCCCAGGAGUGGGAUUGCAGGGUCAUAUGGAAGUUCUAUGUGUAGGUUUCUAAGGUAUCUCCAAACUGUUCUCCAUAGUGGCUGUACCAGUUUACAUUCCUAUUUGUGGACUUUUUAAUGAUGGCCAUUCUGACUGGUGUGAAGUGGUACCUCAUAGUAAUUUUGCUUUGCAUUUCUCUAAUAAUCAAAACUUUAAGGAUACCUAACCAAACUCAUUGUAUUACUAUUUUCCUUUCUGUGUGUGUUCAAGGGUGCUAUAUGCUUAAAAACUUAUGUCUUUAAGUCUAAAAGAACCAUUUCUAAGAAGUGUGAAAUGAGAGUUCUAAAACAUUGUGUUGUAGUUUAAUUGGAAGCAUUUUUUCCCUUAGCGGUACAUCACGUUAAGAGCAAUGGCAUCUUAGAUUCAGUGACCUAUGUCAUUGCUCAGAAACCCGGGGGUAAAGGAUAUUUCUGAGGAAGGACUCAAGCUACUGAGGGCCUUGGAGGCUCCGGUCAUCCUGGGCUGCACUGAGGCCUGAGAGGAUCCAUAUCUUUGCCUGAGACCUGUUCUGAGCCACACAGAUCCAGACACUGGUAUAACAUACCUAGUUUUACAUGUCAAAGCAGAAUUCCUCACUUACCCACCUACCCACAGAUACCUUCCCACCUAGAAGAGAAUCCAAACUGCUCAUUACAGUGCAGAGUUCUUGCCUAAUCCAUAACAUUCCUACUGAAGAAAAUACUAUUGUUUAAAGAACUUAGCUUGAAAAGAAAAACCCAUAUUUCCCAGACUCCCUUGCAGCUAGAGGUGGUUUAGAUUUCCACUGAAAUCUAAGUGAAAGUUGAUUGGGGGUUUUCCGGGGAAGUUUUUGCUUUUUUUUUUUUUGGCUGCGACGAUGACAUAUGGAAGUUCCUGGACCAGGGAUCAAACCCCAUGCCACAGCAGUGACCCAAGCCACUGUAGUGACAAUGCCAGAUCCUCAACCUGCUGCACCACAGGAGAACUCCAGCUUUUGCAUUCUUAAUGUGAGGAGUAGCCUUCCUUCUAGAGACCUCUCUGUUCAUACUGCCAUGACUUCAGACAGAAAGUGGAAAGCAGAGCAGUCAUAGUGCAACCACGAAGCAACCAAAGGCAGGACAGCCAUAUGCUAAAGGUGGCAGAGCAGGAAGACCAAAGGAGAUGGGACUUCGAGGUUCUGUGGCAGUUUUUCAGAGCAGUGGACCUGGCUCCAUUUUGUUUGUGGUGUGGAGCACAACCCCCUACAAGAUCCAGUUCCCUGUGGCUGGUGUCUUUACAUGCAACCAAUACAAGCCCUACCAGGCCCUGGGUGACUGGGGCCCUGCCUGCCUCAGGAACUCAUCUUCCACAGCCCCUCUGGCCACAGUGGGCGUUUGGAUGCUCCUCAGAUGUGACAAGCCAAUCCUUCCUUUUGGGCCUCCAGUUUCCUUCACUUGGGACCGUCUCCCCCAGAUUCUUGCAUGAUUAACUCCUUCUCAUUCUGGAGUCAGCUUUUGCAAGGGCCGCUCCUGAUGCCAAAGCUAAAGAUGGCAGCCUGGGCACUUGACUCUCAUCACUUUGUCUUCAUCAUGCCUCUGGGCAUUACCAAAAUUCAUUAUAUCUCUGGGCAUUACUGUCUUUCUCCUCUGAGUAGCAUGGUCACAUGUCAGCCCCACAAGGAGAGAGAUCUUGUCCAUCUUGCUUGCUGCAUGCCCAGCAUCCAGAAACCAGGGUGGGCACAGAAGAAGGAUUCGAUAGACAUUCUCCCCUGUAGUUCUGGAGUACAGAUAUAUUUAAUUUCUCCCAACUGUUAUGUUAAUGAAGAGUAGCAAAUGAGGUCCACAUAGAGAAUGAAAAAUAUUUACGGAAUAUAGAUAACAUUAAUACAGAUGGCCACUAACCUUUUCUGAUCCUUUCACUCAUAAGCACGUUUAUGUGUGUGUGUCCAGCCCCACCGGUCCUAGACGGUGAGGAUAAAUGUCAGACACCACCCUUUGAAGCUUUUUACGUGGACAUGCACACUCAAAUAUUACUCGAAUUGCUGAGUAAUCUUGUAAGCUCACUAUAACUCUGGAAGUAAGGCAGGUUGACCCAUUUUUGCCAAGAAAAACAAAAGCAAACAAAAAGGAGAAGAAAAGAUUGUUGGACUUCCAUGGGACACCACUCUACUGAAUGCAUGCUGGGAGCAGAAGCCAGCUCUCUAAACCCCAAUCCCACUUCCCCCUACAGUUUCAUUUGGCUUCAACUUGUUAGUCACAGGUAAUUGAGAAGCAUUUUGAGGCAUUUUUCAAAAGUAAUUCAACAGCUGGUAAAGGACAUGGAGGUCAAUUUUAGUCACUUAUGAGGUCAUCUUUUAGCUGAGGAUAUUUGAAGAAAGAAAGAACCAAUGUGAGUCUCAGCAAAAUAUUCCUCUUAUCUUUAUUUGGAAGUUAGAAAAUAGAAACUGCAAAAGAGAUGGGAGUACUACAACCAUGAAUACUGAUUUCCCACAAAAUUGCAAAUGCUAUGUAAGUUGUUUACAAAAACUGUGUUUUAGCAGAGAAAUGGGGGUGGCAGGUAGGGAUAAUUUUAUUUCUGGCUCUUUCACUGAUUCAUUAUUUGACCUUGUGCAAGCUACUUUCACACUCUGUGAUUAUAGUUCCAUAGCGGAGGCAAUAAUGCCGAUUGUACAUGGGAAUUCAAAUAGUUAUUCAAUAUUAUGUCUUAGCACUUAUCUCCCUGUAUGAAAUUUCUUACAAGGGUAUAGGAAUUGCUAUAAGUAUAUAAAAUAAACAUGACAAAGACAUCAAGAAUAAAGAGGCUUUUCGGCAAGAAAAAUCAUCUCAAGGGAGCCUAAAAUCUGAAAUUGAAAAACAAUGUAUUUUUGUUGCUUUUUCUUUUCUUUUCUUUUCUUUCUUUUUUUUUUUUUUUAAGGACUCUAUCCAGGAGUCAGGCUUCAGUGGUACUAGGACAUUAUUUUACCAUUUUCCCUUUAAAUUGUGUGUAUGUAUGUGUGUGUGUUUGUGUGUAAGGCACUUCAGGUGUGAGUGUGUCACAUUUAGAGAGCUAAGGAACAGAUGAAUAACAGAAGGAUGCUGAAUGGUUACUUCUGCCUUUUCAAGCCAAGCCUCUACUCAGCUUUCCAGGUGGAACCAGUCUGGGGAGGAGAAUCUGGAAACGGCUGAGCAUGGGUCCUGGGGUCUCUAGACUGAAGUUUGAGACUCAGCCUGAUUAGAUAUUAAAUAGGCACCAUCAGGGAAGCUCCAUUUGCUUUGAGUCUCAGCACCCUCAUCUAAAAGUAGGGAUAAUAACACACCUUUCUAGAAUGUUUACAAGAAGUGGACAUGUUAGCAUAUCAAAAACACUUGCUAAACUUUAAGGGACUAAACAGAAGUCUACCCAAAGCAAACUACUUAGAGAUUUUAGAGGAACAUCAAAGUAAACAUUUAUUUUAAAAUACAAGGUAGGAGUUCCUGUCGUGGCUCAGUGGUUAACGAAUCCAACUAGGAACGAUGAGGAUGCGGGUUCAAUCCCUGGCCUUGCUCAGUGGGCUAAGGAUCCCGCGUUGCUGUGGCUCUGGCAUAGGCCGGUGGCUACAGCUCCAAUUCGACCCCUAGCCUGGGAACCUCCACAUGCCAUGGGAGCGGCCCUAGAAAAGGCAAAAAGACGGAAAAAAAAAAAAAAAAAAAAAAAAAAAGCAAGGUAGAUGGAGAUGAAUAUUCUAGAACAGAAAAAGAGAAUGCUGCUGGUUUGUACAUGAGUAGAAUAGUGAUAAUGAACUAUUCAAGAGAAGGGGAGAGUGGAAGUGAGCCUUUCCCGAUAACAAGAGGCAGAAAUAGGGCGUUCUACAUAAAGGAGUGGCGGAGGAGAAGUGGAGCUGGGACAGCAGUUCACAUGCCCAAGACAAUGAUUUGUUCAGUCUGACUUGAGAGUAGGAUGAGCCUGGAAGUGUGGCAGAGGACUAGAAAAUCCUGGUUUAGGGUCUGGCUGAAGGAAGACAGCUGGAUUCCUGUCUUGGUCUCUUCAUUCAGUCUCUUACAAUAUGAUGUCAAGUAGCCUCUGGAAGAUUUCCUGUACACUUUAGAGAGUAUAAGAGUGGAAAAAGCAAAAUAUCAUGUGAUAUUAUUUACAUGUGGAAUCUGAAAAAAGAUGCAAAUGAAUUUAUACACAAAAUAGAAAUAGACCCACAGACAUUGAAGACAAACUUAUGGUUACCGAAGCUGGCGGGGAGGGAUAAAUUAGAAGUUUGGGAUUAAUAUAGACACACUACUAUAUAUAAAACGGGUAAACAACAAAGAUAUAUUGUAUAACACAGGGAACAAUACUCGAUAUUUUGUAACAACCUAUAAGGGAAAAUAAUCUGGAAAAAAUAGAUAUAUGUGUAUGUAUAACUGAAUCACUUUGCUGUACACCUGAAACUAUCACAACAUCGUAAAUCAACUCUACUUCAAUUUUAGAAAAGCACAAUAACAUUUCAGUAUUACUGAAAAAAAUAGUUUUGACCUCUCAGACCCCCUGAGGCGAUCUGGAGAACUUCCAGGGGUCACUGGGCCACACUUUGAGAACUGCUGUUCUAGAUCAUUCUUCAGACCACUUAUGGAUUUCAGAAUAAGAAUGGAAAAUAUUUGGAUUAUAAAACAAUCACCACAUUGCAGUCAGUGGUGAUGUCAGCCCUACAAUCAGCUGGGACCACAAUGCCAGGUGGUGUUGCCCCAGCAGUGGCCCAGGGCAGCAGGGGGACCCUCAGGGGCUCCCUUCUAGGCUGCCUCGCUAGUUCUCAGAGCAGGGGUGUGAAGCUGAUCUCUAGAAUGACAGCAGCAGCCCCCACUGUGUGGGCUUUCCCACUCACCACAGCUAUUUCCCAGUCCACAGACCCUACCUGCUACACUGUUUGCCUUCAAAAAGGCAGUUUGAGCAAUCUUAAGAGUUUUGAUAAUGCUGUUGACAUCGUUUUUCAAAAAGGCUGCUUUCACGGGCUUGAAAAACUGAGAUAUAAUUGAUAUAUAAGGUUGUGUAAGUUUAACAUGUACAAUGUGUUGAUUUCAUACAUUUGUAUGUUGCGAUAAUGAUUCCCACCUCAGCAUUUUAGCUAACACCUUUCGCAUGUCACAUAAUUAUCAUUUAUUUUCCGUGGUGAGAACAAUGAAAAUCUAGUCUCUUAGCAACUCUGAAGUUUGUAACACAUUAUUAUUGACUGUAAUCACUAUGUUGUGCGUUAGAUCUCCAGGACUUAUUUAUCUACUAGCUCCAAGUUUGUACAUCAACCAUCUCUCUCAUUCCCCACACCCACACCCCCAGCCCCUGGUAACCAUCUUUCUACUCUCUGUUUUUAUGAGUUCAGUUUUUUUUUAGAUUCCCCAUGUAGGUGAUAUGAUACAAUGUUUGUCUUUCUCUCUUUGACCUAGCAUAAUUUCCUUAAGGCCCAUGCUAUUAGCAAACCAUCAAGAACAAAAAAAUAAUUAGGAGGGAAUUUAACCAAGGAAGUGGAAGACCCCUACUAUGAAAACUACAAGACUUUGAUGAAAGAAAUUGAAGGCGACAUAAACGAAUGGAGAGAGAGCCCACAUUCAUGGACUGGAAGGAUGGUUACUGUUAAAACGUUCAUACUGCCCAAAGCCACCUUUGGAUUCAGUGCAAUCUCUAUCAAAAUUCUAAUGUCAUUUUCCAUGGAACUAGAAAAACAAAUUCACAGGAUUUUAAGUGAAGAUUGUCAGAAGUCUCAAACAGAGGGUUCUUGGCUGUAUUUUUCCUCCAGAGCUGCAUGUGGUGCUUUCUUUUAGUACAUCAUAUGAAAGUUUUGACUACUUUCAAUAAAUACUUCCUAUGAAUACAUUUUGAAAUAAUACAAAAGCAAUAUACUGGAAAAUCUAAAUAACAGUAUUAUUUAUAUCCAAAGGAGAAAGCAAGUCACUGCUUAUCAAUAAUCCUGGAGUUUACCCCUUAUAACAACCUUCUUUAUAUGUCCCUCCAGGCUU
rnacentral:lncRNA from 1 species